rnacentral:tRNA from 1 species
ACUUGAAUAGCUUAUAUUUAGAGCAUAACACUGAAGAUGUUAAGGUAAUAUUUUAUUUUUAAGUG